GUGCUCGCUUUGGCAGCACAUACACUAGAGCUGGAAGGAUACAGAGGUAGCGCGGCCCUGCGCAAGGACGCCAUGCAAAUUCGUGAAGAGUUCCACGUUUUA